rnacentral:rRNA from 1 species
UACGGAGGAUCCGAGCGUUAUCCGGAAUUAUUGGGUUUAAAGGGUGCGUAGGCGGGCCGGUAAGUCAGCGGUGAAAUCCCAUGGCUCAACCAUGGAAUUGCCGUUGAAACUGUCGGUCUUGAAUAUGGUCAAGGUAGGCGGAAUGCGUAAUGUAGCGGUGAAAUGCUUAGAUAUUACGCGGAACACCUAUUGCGAAGGCAGCUUGCUGGGCCAGUAUUGACGCUGAGGCACGAAAGCGUGGGGAGCGAACAGGAUUAGAUACCCUGGUA